rnacentral:tRNA from 1 species
ACUCUUUUAGUAUAAACAGUACAAUUGACUUCCAAUCAAUAAGUCUUGAUAGAUAUGAGAAAGAGUA